AUUGAACGCUGGCGGCAGGCCUAACACAUGCAAGUCGAACGAGUGGCGGACGGGUGAGUAAUGUCUGGGAAACUGCCCGAUGGAGGGGGAUAACUACUGGCAACGGUAGCUAAUACCGCAUACCAUCGGAUGUGCCCAGAUGGGAUUAGCUAGUAGGUGGGGUACCGGCUCACCUAGGCGACGAUCCCUAGCUGGUCUGAGAGGAUGACCAGCCACGCUGGAACGGAGACACUGCCCAGACGCCUACGAGAGGCAGCAGUGGGGAAUAUUGCACAAUGGGCGCAAGCCGGAUGCAGCCAUGCCGCGUGUAUGAGGAAGGCCUUCGAGUUGUAAAGUACUUUCAGCGAGGAGGCGUUACUCGCAGAAGAGGCACCGGCUAACUCCGUGCCAGCAGCCGCGGUAAUAC
rnacentral:rRNA from 1 species